CCAGGAAUAUGGUUCCUUGCAGAAAGUGGUUGGCUGUAAUUCUUUACAGAUUAAAUCACAAUAUGAAUACAGACCCCAGCAAUGCCGAGUUUAACUCUGAGCUCAGUAGAAUCCAGCAUCCAUUCAAUUUCUCCUUUCCCUCAAUCUAGUCGUGUGUGUUUCUCUCUUCCACCACACUGGAGUUCCGUGAAUAGGGAAGGGGCUUCCAUUGUGUCCCUCUGAACUUCCAAGUCAAUGCAAUUUUUAACCACUGGCUUGUGGUACUUUGAAAAUCACCAGGGGCUGUCAGAGUUGGGUCCUCUGAAAAAUUUACAGUGCUAAAUCAGAGCAUAUGCUGGGAGGGAAAAAAAUUGCUUAAGAUUGGAGCAAGUACAGUAUCUGUCUGCCCCCUAGUGUAAGAGUCCUCGCUGCCUAAAAUCCAACUUUAAAAGAAAAGGAGCCCUUAAAGGGAAACGACUUGGGGCUCACGUAGGCAUAGGAGAAUGAAACUUCUGUACAUUUUAAUCUGAAUAAUUCUUCAGGAUUUAAAAUUAUUUGGCUGUGGCUUAGUUGGACUGCACUGGGAUCUCGCUGCCUCUCUACGUUUCUCGAGUCACUGAUGAAGAGGUGAUUUUUUUUUUUUUUAAACUGGGUUUAUGAGCAUCCCCCUCACCCCUCCUCUCUUUUUCUUUCUGCCUCUGUCGUCUCUCUCGCUGGCUUUUCAAAAAUGAGGAACCGUUCUAAGACCAUUUUGCACACAGCACAGAAUUGCUUCUAAAGUCAGCCCGGCGCGGUUGCAAUAGACAGCAAAAAGGUAAACCGUUUGCCUGAAAUCCGCACGUCCGCUCCACCACCCAGCCCGAUGGUUCUAUAACAGAAUCAAGAAGGUGUAGACACCUACCUGUGGGUGAAGACUUGUGAGGACAUUGCUUCAGGUUCCUGCUGAAGCCAGAGUUCUGGAGAUAGACUGCUGUUCAAGGAAAUGAAGAGAGAGUUUGAGAAUUGCAAAUUUCCAAACAGGCCAUAGAAAGACUCACUUAGAAAUCCAUGCUUGGAAGAAAACUGUUUUUAAGCACCAUCUACCAUGAGGGCAUCGCUGUGCUGUUCUCACUGUCCACAAACACGAAGCUACAAUACUGGAAGAUCCUGAGCCCUGGAGAAGAUUUGCCAAAGAAUCUUACUUCUAAAGAAGCCAACAAUCUCAUAAGAAUGAUCAGCAGGAUAAAUCAAGUCAAAAGACUUAGAAGCUCUACAAUCUCCAGCAGCAAGAGCACGUAAACUAUGAAACUAAUGCCUGAAUAAGAAUGGCCCUGUGGAGAAGUCCUCAAGGUUGC